rnacentral:rRNA from 1 species
CCUAUGGGGGGCAGCAGUGAGGAAUAUUGGUCAAUGGCCGGAAGGCUGAACCAGCCAAGCCGCGUGAGGGACGAAGGUGCCAAGCAUUGUAAACUUCUUUUGUCAAGGGACAAAAUCAGGCUCGAGAGCCUGCCCGAGGGUACUUGAAGAAAAAGCAUCGGCUAACUCCGUGCCAGCAGCCGCGGUAAUACGGAGGAUGCGAGCGUUAUCCGGAUUUAUUGGGUUUAAAGGGUGCGUAGGCGGGAGGUUAAGUCAGCGGUAAAAGCCCGGGGAUCAACCCCGGCGAGCCGUUGAAACUGGCGGUCCUGAGAUGUCGGGAGGUAUGGGGAAUGCGGAGGGU